GACGUGGGGUGCAAGCAUUAUCCGGAAUUACUGGGCGUAAAGAGUUCUGUAGGCGCCUAAUUAAGUUCCUAUUUAAAUCGUCAGGCUCAACCUGGCUAACGGUAGGAAAACUAAUAAGGUAGAGAAAAGUAGGGACAUGGGGAACAAAUGGUGGAGCAGUGAAAUGCGUUGAUAUCAUUUGGAACACCAAAGGCGAAGGCACCAUGUUGGGCUUUUUCUGACGCUGAGAGACGAAAGCGUGGGGAGCAAAACGGAUUAGAUACCCCAGUAGU
rnacentral:rRNA from 1 species